rnacentral:tRNA from 1 species
GGGAUUGUGGCUCAGCGGUAGAGCACUCGCCUCACAUGUGUGAGGUACUGGGUUCGAUCCUCAGCACCA